rnacentral:rRNA from 1 species
AGUGAACGCUGGCGGUAGGCCUAACACAUGCAAGUCGAACGGCAGCACAGUAAGAGCUUGCUCUUACGGGUGGCGAGUGGCGGACGGGUGAGGAAUACAUCGGAAUCUACUUUUUCGUGGGGGAUAACGUAGGGAAACUUACGCUAAUACCGCAUACGACCUACGGGUGAAAGCAGGGGAUCUUCGGACCUUGCGCGAUUGAAUGAGCCGAUGUCGGAUUAGCUAGUUGGCGGGGUAAAGGCCCACCAAGGCGACGAUCCGUAGCUGGUCUGAGAGGAUGAUCAGCCACACUGGAACUGAGACACGGUCCAGACUCCUACGGGAGGGAGCAGUGGGGAAUAGUGGACAAUGGGCGCAAGCCUGGUCCAGCCAUACCGCGUGGGUGAAGAAGGCCUUCGGGUUGUAAAGCCCUUUUGUUGGGAAAGAAAAGCAGCAGGUUAAUACCCCGCUGUUCUGACGGUACCCAAAGAAUAAGCACCGGCUAACUUCGUG